rnacentral:lncRNA from 10 species
UUAGAAGUUUGCAGACUGGGUCUUUUGAUUGUGCCAGUGUGUGCUUUUUAAUGUGUCUAUGUAUGUUUACGUGGGUAUUUAGACUUAUGAUAACUUCAAAAAUGUAUUUGAUAACUUUCCAUUUUUUUGCAGAAAUAUUCUUUCAUUAAUAUUACAUGCUUAUGGAACUUUACCUAUUGAUUAAAGACAUCUACCCCUGGAGAAAGAGCCCAAUGAGAAGUAAUCUCUGAAGCCCAGAUUUCCUAAGGAUGAAGCUUCAGGAGAGGCCUUAUCAAUCCUGACAACAAACUUUUCUCGUCAAUUUAGUUUCAUUUAAUGGAAGUUUUAAAUGUGUAAAGUUCAGAAGGCUAUUAAAAUUGGUUCCAGCUAUCUAAGAUACACACACAACCACACACGCGCACACACGGUAGAGAUAAAUAUGUUCGAAAAUCCAGCUCAAUGUUACUAGAAAAUUUGAUCAGAAUCUGGUGAAAUAAAUAGUAAACUUACUAAAAAUGCCAAAUAUCCCAGAAGCUGCUUAACAUUUGAUCAAAAGCUCUGUCCAGUCAAUUCCUGCUUCUUUCAAAAAUACUCUGCUGAAAAGCCAAAGGAGAAAUGGGGCUGGUACCUUCAAUAUAGAGAAUUCCAAGUAAGAUUAGAUCCCAGAAGGCUUAGUGUGGCUUUCUAGGACUCUCACUAUUAGGCAGUAACCUACCAUUCACCUCUGUUUCCCAGAUUCACCUUGUUAUACCUUAUAACUUAAAAUAUAAAUUCCAACAAUGUACUGCACUCAAAAAAAUUAUUUCUCAAUUUGUUUGCUCAUACUAUUGAUUUUUUUCUAGAAUCUAAAUAAUUGUGAAUUAACUAUGAUAGCAGUAUGCACAAACAGUAAGUGAAAUCAGAC